rnacentral:misc_RNA from 1 species
UAAUUAAUUACCUGUAAGAAGCGGCUGAACUACACCGUUCUGCCGCGUGCGUCCCCACGACGUGUCCUCGUCAGCUGACAUUUUCUCCAAUUUCACUCAACAAACGAAAAUAAUUUAUAGAAUAACUUUACACUCCGUAUCUGUCGAUGCUAGGCGCAACUAACCCACACAGCAGCUAAAACCAAACUAACAUCGUUACUGAACACCAGCGAACUUAUACGUUGCUCAGUUUCCUACAAUCGAUAGGAACGUUUGAAGGACGUCUAGAGUACAUACUGCUUUUUACAGUUGCGCCAACUAAUCGAACGUCGCCAUUGAUAUCGCUAGUUUUGAAUAUUCUUCCGCUUUUACCGGAUAUAGAGUACCGACGACUCUAGUAAAUCCAGGAACACUGGAUGCUGCCGGGUGUUUGUUUUUGAGAGCGACGUUUUAUCGACCCCGCUUUUUCAAAUAAAGGGCCACCUUCCCACAGAAUCGCAUAACUCUAAUAUGACAAAGAAUGCCGAGGAAUAAAUGUGAAUCAAAAUGCAACGCUUAAUUGGUCGGCCAUUUUCCUUCACUACCUUCUUUGGACGAAUGUAUUACUCUUAUAAUUUAUGUUAGAAAUAUAGAUAAUUCCGAUUUUGAAUUGAAAAGUUGUCUGUUCAAUAAAUUCAU